CCUACGGGUGGCAGCAGUAGGGAAUAUUGCUCAAUGGGGGAAACCCUGAAGCAGCAACGCCGCGUGCAGGAUGAAGGUUCUCGGAUUGUAAACUCCUUUUGUUAGAGAAGAUAAUGACGGUACCUAACGAAUAAGCACCGGCUAACUCCGUGACAGCAGCCGCGGUAAUACGGAGGGUGCCAGCGUUACUCGGAAGCACUGGGCGUAAAGCGCGCGUAGGCGGGAUAGCAAGUCAGAUGUGAAAUCCUAUGGCUUAACAAUAGAACUGCAUUUGAAACUGUUAUUCUAGAGUGUGGGAGAGGUAGGUGGAAUGCUUGGUGUAGGGGUAAAAUGCGUAGAGAUCAAGAAGAAUACUGAUUGCGAAGGCGGCCUGCUAGAACAUAACUGACGCUGAGGCGCGAAAGCGUGGGGAGCAAACAGGAUUAGAUACCCGGGUAGUC
rnacentral:rRNA from 1 species